CAGAUCGUUAAGGCUGCAAUAAUAUUCAGAGUUGAUUGUUGCACCUUUCUGCAGAUAAUGAAUCAACAAAAUUCCAUUUGCAUCCCAAAAAAACUGAUGCCAUAACCUUCUUUGCUGAUCGUUGUGGCUUCGCCUGCCAUGUAGCUGUGCAACCAGCUUCAGUCAACUGUAAAAGUUCUUGUGUCAAUUUAGGGUCAUCCAUAAUUAUAAAACGACGGAAGAAAUCGGGUUUGUUCUGCUUAAAACGCUCCAAAUUAUGCUGAGAAAUUUGUUUUCGAUCCAGUUUUUGUUGAAUUGUUAACGUGUGCGGCUCUAACUUUUCAAACGGCUUUUUUUAUGUAAUUCUCCAUGUUAAAUAUAAAGUACUCGUUCGUCUGAGAUGUCUAUGGCAUUAACAAUUUCACGCUUAGUCAAACUUGGAUCUUCGCUAACAAUAUUAUGAACUUCCUCAAUGAUUUCUGGUGUGAUUGCCCAAAAUUCAACGGUGCGUUUUGAAGACCAACCAACUUUUCAACCAACCUGUACAUAGCCGGGCCAAUGCGUUCGUUUGCAAGUCGCUUAAACUUCUAAUUAAAACACAAGCAUUUCAGAUGAUUUUACGAAUAUUUAUUUAGUGUUAGUUUAUUAUCUUUUUUAUAUUUUAUUAUUACAUACAUAGAGUUUUCAUAAAUAUUUAGUAUAUGUAUAUUUUAUUGUAAGAUUAAUUUUAGGUAAUUUCUUUGAGUGGGUGAAAUGUAUCUCUUUUCAAUAUUUUACGUGUUCAGUAUAUUUAUAUUUAUUUAUUUACGUUUUAUUUUCAACAUUCUUCUUAUGUCGUAUUUUUUUAAUUGUAUUUACUUAAAAUUACAGCCUUUAUAAUUACACUUCAUAUAUAUAUGUAUAUAUAUAUUUCUAUGUAUUUCUUUAUCGCUUCAUCAGCGCGCCCACUUUUUCAUACCACACUUCGUACUCGUCUUCUCGUUUACCGUUUUCUUUGCGCCGGAAAUGAAUUCGCGUUGUACUACACACCUACGUUCGUACGGGUAUUUCGUGCAUUUCCUUUCUUCUUUUACCGUUUCAAUUUUGUGCUUUCAAAUAUCGCACAUUCAUAUGUAUCUAUGUAUUUGUUUUACCUUUGUUGUAAGUAUGUUUUGUGACCGUCAAAUAUCUCUGUUAGUUUUUGUCACUUGAGUGAGUUUUAGUUAAUUUGAUAUAUGUAUUAAUUCUGUUCAUUUUGUUAAUUUCUGACACAUUUACCAUAUUUACUGGAAAUAUUUAUAUGUACUGUAUACUUCAUCUAAAUAAAUUGUAUAUUUAUUUGUAACUGUUUUUUCUUGUUUUUGUUUUUGUUUUUUGCUUUCGAUUUUCAUUAUUGGAUACUUAGUUCAAUGGUUGUAGACGAGACGAGCUCUGCACUUUCAAUGUGCAUGCUCCUUGAUACGGCCAUAGGCAUGUGAAUGUGUGUGUGUGCGUGUGGAGUGUGUAAAUCGGGUUCGUUGCAAGUGAAGUCUGCACAGAUUGGUUGUACCACUAUAAUGCACACAUAUGUAAGUAUAUAUUACUACUACAUAUAUGUAUAUAUGUAUAUGAACAUGUGCAGCAUUGUACCGUUAGUACUCGUAGAUAAAUGUGUUUGAUUUUUCAAAAUUCAAUCGCUGUAUUAUCGUUUCAAUUGAAAAAUGCGACAAGUACAUUUAACAUAUUUUAGAAGUUCAUAUGCUUGCAUGUAUGUAUGUAUGUCAUGCAUUGUUAAUGUUAUGAAGACACAUUUCAUUUUUGUUAUUUUUACUAUAUAUUUAGUAUAUUUAUUUGUUUAAAUUACAAUAAUUUCUCACAUUUCAACAAUCAUUUUAAUAAUGGUAUAUUCGUAUAAUACAAUACAAUAUUUGGUUUGCUGCUUCAUAUUAUACAAUUUUAAUAUUCAUUGUCUCAAUUUUAAAACUAUCUCGUCUCAAAAGAGAAAAUAUAUGUACCUCUAUAUUUAUGGCUAUGUAUAUAUUUAUGUUUGCAUGUAUAUAUAUUUGUUUUAUUACACUUUUAUAUUUUAUUCUCAAUAAUCGUGUUGGUUUUUAUGAGUUGAACUUUAUGCCAUAUUUGUAAUUUUUUUGAUUCGAUAAAUUUUUUCUCACUUAUUUUUUAUCGUUAAUCAGAUAGAACACAGUAGAGAUCAGCAUUUACACUUUUCAAUAUAAUAAAUUAUUAAUUAAUUAAUAUUUUUGUAGUUUUCGACAAGAUUGUAUGUAAUAUAUAUGUAUAACAAUAUCAUAUAAAUAAUCAAUGAAGACGUGAUUAAUUAACUUUUUAUUUGGAGGAAUUUUGAAGUUUUAUAAAUUCAGGGAAUAAGGGAGUUCAUAAAAAAAAAAAUUUUUUUUUUGAUAUACAGAGUGUGCCAUGUCAAACCAAUGCAUAGAUAUAUUAUAUUAAUAAGUAUCACAAAUUCUUCGUAAAAAAGGCAAAUUGCAAACGAAACAUACGACCUCAAAUUUAAGGAGUGUUAACAUAUUUCUGUGAACUGACAAAUCGUUAAAUUGCUACGAUACGCAGGUCAGUCCUCCAAUGCAACCGUUUUCACUUAUACAGUAUUGGGAAAUCCAUAAGCCUUUUUUCAGACUAGCAUGUCUCAUUGAAUAAUGUCUACAUAUACGCAAUAGUAUAUUAAGACUUCGCCUUAUAACUUGUAAGUCAUAAAAAAUAACAUAGUGUAACAUAAUUACUGACAGUUUACAGCAAUAUGUCUCUAUUGAGGUUCCAUUGCUUUACAUUGUCUACUAUGAAAAUUAGGAAGAAGCUGUCAUUUGAUUUGACAUUUUAUAAUGCCUAACCUCUUUGUGACUAUCAAAAUAAUAAUUAGUCUUGAAUUGACAGUAGUAUCAGAAAUUUGUUUUUAAUACUGCACUGUAAAUGAACAAUUGUCAAGGGUCUCCUAGCCGUCGAAAUAUAUUCUAUACCUAUUGUGUAUUCAACGUGGCGUUGACCAGGAAUAAAAAGAAUUUUAAAUUUGAUAGUAAGUGACGGCUUUAGGAUGGAUGCUAACUCAGAAACGAAGAAUUAUAUUAAAAUAUACAGUUAAAUAUUUCGAAGAUGUCUCUUAUAACAUUACUUAUGAUGUAAUUUCCUCGCAAAGUGCAGCAUAAGUAAUUAUAAUGGAAUCAAAAAUUUUUAAUUGGGAAUUUGAGGUUAUUAAAAAUAAUAUCUAUAAAUUUUGUUUUUUAAUUUACCAGGAUUUGUAAUAAUUAAGAAUUCUAUAUCGAAAUUUGUAAAAUACAAAGUAAAGUAAAUAUAGCAAUUGUUUUAUGAGAAGUAGUUUAAACUCUGGUCCAGAAAAUUAUUUAUUAAAACAACAAGAAAAUAAAUUAGCACAGACAAACGAUGAAACAGCAGAAAUGAGAACAUCAGACACGAAGCUACAAUCAGUUUGACGUAUUAGGCUAAGCACAUAGUGGAAAGCAAAUGUUCCUUUUUCAUUGGCAAAUUUAAUUAGAAGUUAAUAUUAACUUUCGUUAAUACAAGUACAAACAAGUGUCAGCGCUAAUUAUGUGUACCUGAUAGGAAGUGUAAAUAAGGAAUUAUAAGAAGAGGAAGUUUGGAAUAUUUUCAUGCCAUCAAGUAAUAACAUAUUUCGACGUUUCAACGGGCGAUCCGUUGACUAGCAUUUGAUUGCAUUUAGUAUAUAAACGGGUAUUUGUAUAUAUAUAAGCACAUCUAUAUGCGGAUGCACGAAUAAUAAUAAAUCGUUUUUGUCAUAUGUAAAGACAUAUGCACAUACAUAUGUACUAAGUAAAUAUCGUACACAUAUAGUAAAAAAUACUCAACAAUUUCGGUGAAACCAUUUUGCGCUACAAUUUCAUUUGAAUUCUUAACAAUUUUGAAUACCAAUUUUCAAAAGAUAUAAACACUUUUUUUUAUACAAAUUUAAUUUACACAUGCAUACAUGUCAGUAUGUAUGUAUGUAUGUAGGUGCUUAAUUUUGAUUUCUGCUGUUAACUGCUAUGAAAAUAAAUACUUUUAAUAUACAAUAUACAUACUCGUACAAAUGUAUUUAUACACAUACGAGUACUGAAGUAUACAUGUAUACACGAGCAUAUUGCAACAACAACAUAUUAUAUAAUAUUGUUCCAGUAGAUUUUCUUAAUGACUUUGGUAAUCAAAUCUCGUUGGCGAAAAUCGGUGGCUUACUUACAUAUAUCUCUGUUAUAUUUACUACGAAUUUUUGCCGGAAUAUAUUCACUACUCUUAAUAAAUCUGGGUAAUGGGUAUGGAAAUAAUUUUAUUUUAUAAUUUAGUCAAUCAAUACUCAUAUUGCAGUUAGUGUAUGUGUAUAGUAUGUAUGUAUUUCAAAAAAUUAAAUCUUACAUUUGUUCACUAUAAUAAAACGCAUCAAAAUAGAGUUGUUUGUAUAUGAUGAUCAUUAUCUCGUAAAUAUCUUACAGUUGUGGUGUAUAUGUAUGUAUUUAAACAAUUACAUACAUACAAUUUGUACACUUUUAUAAAAGAGAGCGCCUUAUGCAUUUUCAAUGAUAACAAAGUCAUAUAAAUAUAUAUACUUAUUACAUAUAUAUUAUAUUAUUAAAAUGAAUAAAUAAUGAGUAGAAUAUACUGUAUUUACAAAAAAAAAAAAAAAAAAAAUUAAUCAAUCAAUAAAAAUCGUAUUAUGCAUAUAAUCAUUUAAUUCCAGAACUAUUUAAAAAAUAUAGUAGCGAAAAUAAUUACAAUUUUCACUGAGCGGCAACAAUGAACAAUGAGCAACUCUCAUUUUUACCUUUUAUAUUGCAUUGGCCUAAAAAAGCUUCAACCUGCAAAAGGUCAAAGAUUAUAUAUUUUGUACCACAUUACAAAAAUUGGCUAUAAGCAACUGUUGAUAAUUAGACUUCUUAUGUUUCUCCAAUGAUCUAGAUUUGUAUAUUUUGUAAUCUGCCGGUUUGACAUUGACAUCAUUUCCCAUUAGCAAUAGCUCUUACAGCCACAAAAUAUAAUUUUCUUCACAAAGUCUCUGCUUGUACGGAAACAAAUUGUUAAAAAAAAAACAGCGGCCACUUGUGGCAAUAUGAUAAUUAGUGAGUGCACAUAUAAAUACGUACAUAUGGAAGUUUCCUGCUUGCAGUCUGCUUUUUGAUAUUCAGUUCUUCUAGUUGCGAUGACUGAAAUACUAGCCUUCUUAGACGCAUUAUGAGCAGGACUUGACUUUCGCAUCGACUGUGUCAAUGUUUCGCUGCAGGUACUACCAGUGAAGCAGCUUCAGAGAGAACAGGCGCAACCUUAAGACUGAUCUGAAUGCAAAUUAUGUGUCUGCAUAAACUAAGCAUAUACCUAUGUAUAUGGUUCACUUAAUACAGGCAAAGGAUGAAUUUAGGCUAUAAUUAGUUGUCACCCUAGCAGUGUAAUAUAACUUUAACAUAUGUAUAAAUUUUCGAGUUAUUGCAUUCUAUUAGACAAAAUUAGAAAUAAUGAAAUCAACGCUAAAUAUGAUUUUUAAUACUUCAGUUUGUAUUUGUGGUUUGGAAAAUUAAAUUCAUAUUUAAACAGCCCUUGCUCGCUUAAUCUAUCUACACAAUAAUUUUACAUAAUUCUUCGUUGCAUAUAAUUAUUGUAUUCAUGUACUUUAAUAUUAGUUAAAUAUUAUAUAAUUCUUACUUUUAUAAGUUCAAGUAUAUUCCUAAAUAAUUGAUUUAUGCAAAUUAUAAUUUCACAAAUAUUUUCGAUUAGUGUCGCCAACAAGAGUUUAUUCUGUUUCAAUUUUAUUUUAUAGAUUUAAGUUCUUUUUGCCUACAAAUUUGGAGCAUUUUUGAAGAUAGCCAAAAUAGCUUAAAUAAUAAUUAGCAACCGCAUGCUUACAUACAUUCACAAUAUACAAAUAUAUUAUAAUAUGUAAAGCUUUAUUUACAGGACUCUUAAACUGGGUAAACAAUUUUGAAAGGUGCUAUUGGUCAAACCUCGAAAAAACUCCCAAAUGUUUUACAACCUUCGCCUCUACAAAAUGGGUAAAAUUUUCAAAACUUAGAGAUUAAUUAUUAUCAAAUGCACUAUACAUAUGAUAAGUUUUUGAAAAAGGUUAUGUUAGUUUGGGUUGGGACUACUGGGACAUCUAAAAUCGAUGUGGCAAGUUCUGUAACGAAGCUUUCUAUAUUCGGAAAGAAGGUAUAGAAACUAAUCUACAGCAUCGUUCAAUUUAGGUCUUGGUGAAUUCUUGCUGUCACAGUUCUUAUAUGAUAUAAAUAUAUAUUGUAUAUUGUCUGCCGUUCUUCGUAAAAAUAUAGACCCCUACGCCUUUUCUUGCAAACGAAUCCGAAAAGUGUUUCUAUUUAUUUUCUCUCUCUUUCUCUGCAACACUAAAUUUCUAACAUUUUUUGAAAGUACAAAAUAUAUCCGAGGAAUUUAAUUUAUCUUUAACUGUAUAUCGCUGUAAUGUGGCCAGACAUGAAGUUUCUGAAUUAGAAUUGAAAUAUUGUGGUUUGAAAUGUGUAGGAAUAUUAGGGUGUGCCAAAAAAACGUUUAAUGUUUUUCCUUAGAUAACGUUAAAGGUACCCUGAUGAAUACACAAAAAUAUUGUUAAGCAAACUUUUAUAUAAACCAACCAUAUUUGUAUGUUGUGGUAAACCUUUGAAUUGUUGUAAAUAUAAAAAUAUAAUAUUAAAUAUGGUCGUUAUGUAAGCAUGCGAUUAUUUGCUUACUUAUACGAGUAAUUGAGCUACAACGGUUUUGGUUGAUUUUAUUCACGAUUCUCAAGUGUUUCCUUUACUUUAUAGCCUUAAUUAAUUUUCUAAUUAGUUUUUAAUAUUUUUUAUAGCUUUAUAUAUAUAUAUCUUUUUUUUAAAUAAUAAUAAUACUCAGUUGCAGCUAAUAUUUGCUGUAUGUUCAUUUACUAGGCCAAAAGUUAUGUUCAAUUUGUAUAAUUAAGUUAAACUAUUUAUUGUAUUACUAUAAUAUUAUAUAUUACUUAAUAUUGCAUAUUUGCUUUACAACUUUAACAAAUUCGUAUACUUACACACGGCUGCACGCACUUAUUUAUACAUAUGUAAGUAUAUUGAGGGCGUCAAACAAUGUUUUUUAGGAUAAAUAGACCACAUCGAGAUUUGUAUAGAGUUUGUUUUGUGUUUUCUUUUUGUUCAAUAUACCACUUACUUAAAAAAUAUACAAUAUACAGAUGUAUAAUAUAAUAUCCUAUAUUUGUGUUGUUAGCUUCCUACAUACAAGUAUUUAUGAAUCUAUGCAUAUAUGCUUAAACAUGUAGUCUGUACGUAAUUAUUUAUAUAAUUUGACACAACCGUAUAUGUAUGUAUAUAAUUCAGUAUUUCAUGAAUUUCUACGCAUUCGUGUAAUUACAUUUAGUUUCCUUAUUUUCAUUUAUAUUUUAUUAUAUAUUUCAUGUAUAUGUAUAUUAAUUAGUGUACGUGUUUUUAGCAGUUCUAGGAAAUAAAUCGUUUGCAACUUUUCCAAACCUAAAAAUGCCUUUUGUGCAAUUCACAUGUGUUUCAUCCUAACCUCGGCUUAUGUACGGGUACUGGUUGAGUACCACUCAAGGUUUAGUUGCCUAAUUGAUAUUUCAUCGAGCGGAAAGUUUUAAAAUUGCAGUUGAAGUAUUUUCCACAGCCCAAUUCAAUUAGUGCUUUCUUACUGCCUGUCACUGUAGUCGUAUAUCCUGCGUAGGACGUAGUCGUAUAUCCUUUGUAACGUCCGACAUUACCGGAAUUACGAAUUACAAUUAUAAGAAAUUGAAGAAUUUAAUCUCUAAACCCCUUUAAGCUAAAGAACUUAAUACAUAUUUUCAAAGAUAAUGCACUUUCGUUAUCUAGUAUAAUACAAUAUUUUCAAAUAAUAUUUCAUAAUUAUUAGUCGAAAAAAGGUGUCGACGCCUAAAAUCAGACUAGCAGAAACAGAGACACACAAAAAUUGGUGAACACAAAACAAAAAACCUUUAGGUAACUAUGGUAUUUUCACUUUAUCUUUAAAAGAUUUAAAUAUGAAUUAAAAAUAUUAAACUUUUUCUUUCGAAGUUUUAAGAGCUCUCGCUCCUUAACGGUACAAUUUGGUUUCGAAAACAUCUCUUUUAAUAAUUAAUCUAGCAGCAAACUUAAUCCCACUACGGUUGUCUUAACAUCCUUUCUAAUCACCCAGCCACCAUACUUUAUUGUGUGGUCGAAAAAAGUUUCAAAAUCGUUGAUUGCAAUGUAAACUGGAAUAUAUGUUUCCAACCGUGUAAUAUUUUAAAUCAGUUGAUCGCCAAUUAUUGAAUUACUUCCCCGUUUAAAAAAGCUGAAUCUAGGUAAUACUUAGUGCAAUCAUUGUCAGACAAUUGUUAAGUUUUUUUUUUUAAGUGUCAGAAUGUCAUCCUAGAGAUCUGAUCGAAGAAAUAUCGGUGAAUCGAUAUAAUUCGUGAAUUUAAUCUAUGUACAUCUAUAGUCAUAUUAUUCAGAUAAGGUUACAGACAUACUCUUGUAAUUAUAUAGUGAAUUGACACCCGAUUUGAUUUAUUUGUACAGACGUGAAAUGAGAACUUCAAGUAGUUACAUUAUUUAUUUUAUUUAUUCAGCGUUGAUAACAGUUAGUUUUGCAUUUAUUUAGUUUUUUUUAUUUAUGUGCAUUAUUAUUUAGUUUCAGUGUUUGUUUUAAAUCAUCAUACAUUUUCCGAUACAGAAAUAUGACAUAAGUUCAAAUGUUAAAUGAAAUUUCAAUUAACCAAUACUCAUUAUGAAGAUCACAAAACGUACUAGUACAUAAUACAAUUUGUUCGAAAUGUUGAUUGUAAGAUUAAGGAGAAUAGAAGAAUGUUAUUUUUACUUGACCAAAUCGAAUUUAUAUAAUGCAAGCAAAAUAAUUAAUAAAGUAGUUAAUGCAUAAUUAAAUUACAAUAAAAAAAUUUGAAGGGUGGGGUUUUUUUUUCAUAAUUUAAAAAAGUGUUGCGUUACAUUAAAUCGAAAUUUAAAUGCAAUUUUUGUUCAUCAUACUACACAUACAAGUAUAAAGAGUCUAAUUGAAAAUAUGAAAAUAUAAUAAAAAAUCAAUAUCAAACGAAGAUAAUGUAAGAAAUAGGUAGUAUAGAGAUUUCAGCUAGUAAGUGAUGAAGUGCUGCUAUUAGUUAACCUGGGUCUUUAGUAAUUUGUCACAAGCAUAAUGAGUUUUGAGAGGGAGGGGAAAUGUUCUGAGAGGUACUGUCGAAAAAUCAAAAAAGGGAUAAAUAAUUAUGCAAUCCACUGCGGUGUUCUACAUUAGUUUAAAUGCUUGCUUAGAAAAUAUUGCUUUGUCAGGCCUAAUGUACUAAAUAAAAUGGAAAUUAAAAGCAACAAAAAAUAUUUAAAAUCCUCUAUAUCUCUUUUGUACGUGAAGUUUUGCAAAUGUGACUCAGUUUAUAGAAGCAUCUUCGGUUUUAUAUAUAUGAAACAAACAACAUAUUUCGUUGUUUGCCCCCACGAGCGCUCGCUACUUGGUAGCGAUCACAUCACGUUGGUAAUCAGUUAACACUAUCCUUAUUCUGGUUGAUAUUUUUUGUUGAUAUUGUUUAAUAAUACCGCUCCGAAUUCUUCUCCAUCUCUUCAGCUAACAUACGCAGUUCCACACAUAUUGUUCGUUUGAUAAUUUGCUGUUUACUUUAAAUAUCUACGGAGAAAUAAUGCAUUCUUUGAAACAUUGAAAAGUCCAAUAGAUUUUCAAGAAACCAAACUACUAUACUACUUACUCACAUAAGCAUUACAGCUAUUUAACUACGAGUGCGAAUGUAUAGUAUGUAAACAAAUAACGUGGAGCAAGGUGUAUUAACUCCGCCGAUAAUGUCUCGUUCAGUCACUCUGUUGUUCUGGCGGAUAAGGAAUUCGUUAAUACAUAAAUGCAUUUCCUAUUGCUAAAUAGUGAGUGCCUAUAAGUAUGCAACACGCGGGUAACGCGAUACCAGCAGUGCUAACAUAUCGGUCUAAUUAAAAAUGCUUUGCAGUUUUUUUUUACAAUUGCCAUUAAUGACAUUAUCUUGGAACGUACUGAAGUCUCAAUAUUAUACUUCCGGCGUAUUAGCCUUAAUUCCGAUAUUUUAGUCAUAAAUGCUUUAAACUGAAGUAAACAGUUAUCUCUAGUUGUGAUUGAAAUUUCAUAGAGAAGAACUCCUUGAAAAUUGUUUCAGAAAGAGUGAGGCUGACGGUUUCGGAAUCUACGUAGCGCACUUUUCGGCGCAUACAAAAAUUUCAAACGCCUUUUUACGAUAAAAAUAUAUUUAGUGGAUGUUGUCGAGUCUUUCUAAUAAUUUACAAUACGCUGCAAAAAAUUGUCAUAGAAGAUAUUUCAAAAUGGCAUGCGCAGAGAAUGCGAAUUCAAUCUAACAAUGGGUUUUACGGUAUACCAACAAAAACUGUAAAACUCGACAUUCCAUAUUGAGCACCUUGACCUAAGAAGCAGUAGCGGAAUUGUGAUACAACAAUGCCGAAAUCCAAUGUACAUUGUACCUCAUGUGCAAAAAGAGAAAUCUUUUUUAUUCGCUUGAAUGUCUCUCUCUCCAUUCAGAUUUUUUUUAUUUAAUUUUAUUUUAUCUCAUGUUUUUUUGUUUUUAUUUUUUACUGAUUUUUCUAACGUGCAUGUCGCUUAUGAGUUUUGUGUGUUAAGUCACUUAGAAGUCUUCUUUCUUAGUUGCUUCUUUGUUAAUUCUAUCGUAAAUAAUAUUAAUCUAUGGUAUUAAUAAAUUAUCAAUUAUUAACUACAUAGUACAGAGUAGUCUAGGUAACAGUAGAUAAUUUCAGUAGGGUUAUAAUUUAUAAAUUUCAUAUUACUUUAUUUUUGUUGAGAAUUACGUUCUUCGUAUUGUAUGCAUGUAUGUAUGUUUGUUUGUUACUUGUAUACGGCUAAAGUCAACAGGAAGGAUAAGAUAGGUGUUUUUGCUUAGCUUUUUGCUUUUGAUAAAUGUAUCUAAUUUCAUCUCUUGUCUGUGUUUAUUUUUUUGCAAUACCAUAGAUGCUUAUGUAUAUAUAAUAUAUGUAUGUACGUUUACAUAUGUAUGUUUAUACAAGUUAAUAAUUAUGUUUAUUGAUUUUUUUUCUUUAUUUUCAAUAUCGUUUUUCUUCAGUAUUUCAGUAUUUUAUUAUUCAUAUUCAUUUUCGCACUACGUAUGUUCUUCAUGUAUGCAUUUGCAUGUACAGUUGUGCAAUUACGUAAGUAUGUAAGUUGUUGUAGCAUAUGUAUGUAUAUAAAUUAUUUGUUGCACCAGGAAUUUACUUCCGACCAAAUAGAAACAGAAAAGCAAAAUAGAAAAACUUGGCGCGUUGGGCAAAAUUUCUUCGGUUUUUUUUCUAAUUUGCUUUGCAUGUUCGUGUGUAUAAGUUUGUUGUACGUGUAAAUAGCUUCAGCGUUUGCCUGCUAAUUGGCAUGAAUUACAAAUUUGACUUACAAAAGCAAACGGCUGCGCCGCAUUACAACUUAUGUUUGAGUGUGUGAGUGUGUAUGUGUGUGUAAGUUCUACUAUAAGCAAGCAAAUGUUCGUUUGUUCGCUUAUUUUCGCAUUUCUUUGUUUAUGUUUUUUAAAUAGCUUACGAAAAAUGCACAGCUGCGACAAUAAUGAGUUUAUCUAAACCUGCUUUGCAAAUAGUUUUCUCAGCAAUAUUUGGUUUUAUAUAGUCUAAAUUAUUUUUGCUUUUAAAAAUAUCACGAAUUUUCUAUAAUUUUCGCAUCGCCAGUUUGUUUUGUUACUCUCAAAACCGAUUAUUUAUGCAGGCUCUCCAUUUAUGGAGCUACAUAUGUAUAUAAUUAACGGUAAUGUGAUGCUUAUGUUUUACACAAUUCUAUUUUUAUUAUUGCUCUCUCUCUCUUUCUCUAACUAAAUUUUCAAUUCGAUUAUCAAUGACCUUUCGUUGCAGAAAAAUGCGCAGGCGCAGGCGCAUAUUUUGAGUUAAGAGAAUUUAUUAUGUAUGCACACGCAUGUCAAUUA